rnacentral:rRNA from 1 species
CCUACGGGAGGCAGCAGUGGGGAAUAUUGCGCAAUGGGCGAAAGCCUGACGCAGCGACGCCGCGUGAGGGAUGAAGGUCUUCGGAUCGUAAACCUCUGUCAGCAGGGAAGAACGGUCACUGUGCUAAUCAGCAGUGAAUUGACGGUACCUGCAAAGGAAGCACCGGCUAACUCCGUGCCAGCAGCCGCGGUAAUACGGAGGGUGCGAGCGUUAAUCGGAAUUACUGGGCGUAAAGCGCUCGUAGGCGGUAUGUCAAGUCAAGGGUGAAAUCCCCGCGCUCAACGUGGGAACUGCAUUUGAAACUGGCAGGCUGGAGUGUGGGAGAGGGGGGUAGAAUUCCAGGUGUAGGGGUGAAAUGCGUAGAGAUCUGGAGGAACAUCGGUGGCGAAGGCGACUAUCUGGAAGAAGACUGACGCUGAGGUGCGAAAGCGUGGGUAGCAAACAGGAUUAGAUACCCGGGUAGUC